rnacentral:rRNA from 1 species
UACGUAGGGUGCAAGCGUUAAUCGGAAUUACUGGGCGUAAAAGCGUGCGCAGGCGGCUUUGCAAGACAGAUGUGAAAUCCCCGGGCUUAACCUGGGAACUGCAUUUGUGACUGCAUGGCUGGAGUGCGGCAGAGGGGGAUGGAAUUCCGCGUGUAGCAGUGAAAUGCGUAGAGAUGUGGAGGAAUACCGAUGGCGAAGGCAGCCCCCCUGGGAUAACACUGACGCUCAUGCACGAAAGCGUGGGGAGCAAACAGG